rnacentral:rRNA from 1 species
GGGUCAGUAGGUUGGUCGUGCCACCGGUACGUACUGGUCUCACUGAUUCCUCCUUCCUGGAGGACCGUAAUGCCAUUAAUUUGGUGUUGCGGGGAAACAGGACUGUUACUUUGAAAAAAUUAGAGUGUUUAAAGCAAGCUAACGCUUGAAUACAUUAGCAUGGAAUAAUGAAAUAGGACGAUCGAUCCUAUUUUGUUGGUUUCUAGGAUUGACGUA